UGGGGAAUAUUGCACAAUGGGGGAAACCCUGAUGCAGCGACGCCGCGUGAGCGAAGAAGGCUUUCGAGUCGUAAAGCUCUGUCCUAUGAGAAGAUAAUGACGGGAUCAUAGGAGGAAGCGCUGGCUAAAUACGUGCCAGCAGCCGCGGUAAUACGUAGGGGGCGAGCGUUGUCCGGAAUUAUUGGGCGUAAAGGGUACGUAGGCGGUUUUUUAAGUCAGGUGUCAAAGCGUGGAGCUUAACUCCAUUAAGCACUUGAAACUGAAAGACUUGAGUGAAGGAGAGGAAAGUGGAAUUCCUAGUGUAGCGGUGAAAUGCGUAGAUAUUAGGAGGAAUACCGGUGGCGAAGGCGACUUUCUGGACUUUUACUGACACUCAGGUACGAAAGCGUGGGGAGCAAACAGG
rnacentral:rRNA from 1 species